rnacentral:rRNA from 1 species
AUGGAUGAUCUGCCAGAUGGUGAAGGGCAAUCUGAUACACACUCUACUGAUGCAAAUUGGCUGUCCUCACAUGAAGAGCAUAAGUUCCAAUCCAUUUCCUUGGCUAAGCAGGACCACAAUUCGGAUUUGGCAGAUUCUUCUCUUAACUGUAUGAAAAGUGACCAUUCAUUUUGCGCUUCUCAGGAAUUAUGGUCUACUGGAUCUCUAUCGAGUCCAAUACCCAAUGGAUUUUACUCAAUUAUACCGGAUAAGAAACUGAAGGAGUGUUUUGACGCCAUUCCUUCUCCUGAUGAUCUAUAUUCCCUUGGAAUAGAGGGCUUCAAGGCUGAGAUAAUUCUUGUGGACUUAGAGAAGGAUAAAAAGCUAUCUGCGAUAAGGCAGCUAUGUGUAGCUCUGGUAAAAGGAUUGAGUUCUAACCCAGCCGCAAUGAUAAAAAAGCUUGCAGGUUUGGUUUGUGACUUCUAUAAGCGACCAAACCCACAGCUAAGCCCUGCAAGAACUUCUUCUGAAGAAAUUUUUCAUUUCAUGGAAAACAAGGGAAUUCAAUUAUUGGGGCAGAUAAGACAUGGAUCUUGUCGGCCCAGAGCAAUUUUAUUUAAAGUCCUUGCUGACUCUGUUGGUAUAGAUUCUAAGCUGUUGGUGGGCAUUUCAGAUGAAGAAUCUCAUGAACACGAUGACUCACCCAAACAUAUGACUGUUGUUGUUAUGCUGAAGUCCAUGGAGUUCCUCGUUGAUCUAAUGCGUUUUCCAGGACAACUAAUUCCAUUCUCAUCCAAAGCUAUAAUCACAUCCCAUAUAUCUGCUGCUGGAGAGAGUGACUCUGCUGACUAUGAUUCUUGUGAUUCUCCUCUUGAACCGAAUAGUCCUUUGUGCUCUCAACGGCAAGAGCAAGAUGAAAACAAUAGGUCAUUUAAAGUUACGUCCCUAAGAGACAUCAUGCGCCGAACUUCAAACUCUAUGGAGGGCAAAUUGAGAUGUUCAUCACAUAGUGAACCAAAUGUUGCCAAUGCCUUAUGUGGACGCCGUGGGAGGAAAGCUAAUGAACAUCAAAGAACUGCCAGUUCAAGUCCAGACCAUCCAUUGUCCAGAGCACAUGGGCGCUCAAACUUGGGUGAUAGACAGUACGGAGAUGGUGUAGCUGUAUCAAGGUCAGAUGGUGCAUCAACGUCAAGUGCGCGGAGAGGACGUCCAAAAAGUAUGAGUACAUCCCCUGAAAUUGGUGAUGACUUUGCGAGGUGUAUUCACAUUUGUGGUGUUUGUCUUUGGGGCGUCCUCUGUAGCAAGAUCUCUUGUCGGCUGUGCCAUGUUGCCUAUGUGGAGUCUUCACCACCGGUUCUUGUCCCGGGUGCUGAUCCAGCAGCUGUGAGGCUUCCAAUGUUGCUGAUGAUGCUACUGUUGCUGCCUAUGAGUAGAAGGUGUCUGACUACCAGGGCAGUUAAAGAAAUGAGUGAAAGCAUGAGGAAAAAUCGCCAUUCAAGGGCACAUAAUGAUGGUAGUCCAGGACAUUCAAAUGAUUCACAGAGAAAAGAGGAAGCAGUAGGUGACCUCAACAAUGAUGAGGUGUCAGUAAGAGAACCAAAUGUUCAGGAGGGUUCAAGAAGGCACAUUAUUACUCAGAAGGCAUUGUCAUUACCUUCAUCACCGCAGCGGUUAGGUAACCAUGGUUCUAAUCUUAGAGAGCCAGCUGACUUCCUUACAGCAGAAGAUCUGAUGUCCACUUGGAAUAAAGCAUUGCAAUCUUCACCAUUUCUGAACAAGCCAUUAUUGCCUUUUGAAGAAUGGCAUAUUGGGUUCUCAGAGAUUGCUGUUGGCACUCGUGUUGGAAUAGGUUUUUUUGGGGAAGUUUUCCGUGGCAUCUGGAAUGGAACAGAUGUAGCUAUAAAAGUAUUUCUGGAGCAAGAUUUAACAAUGGAGAAUAUGGAAGAUUUCUGCAAUGAGAUCUCCAUACUUAGCCGUCUCCGACAUCCCAAUGUCAUAUUGUUCCUUGGUGCAUGUAUGAAGCCUCCUCACUUAUCCCUAGUCACUGAAUAUAUGGAAAUGGGUUCCUUGUACUAUUUGAUUCACACAAGUGGCCAGAAAAGUAAGAUCAGUUGGCGAAGGAGGCUAAAAAUGCUCCGUGAUAUCUGUAGGGGUCUUAUGUGUAUGCACCGUUUGAAGAUAGUUCAUCGUGAUCUAAAGAGUGCGAAUUGCCUUGUUAACAAGCACUGGACAGUCAAGUUAUGUGAUUUUGGGCUCUCUCGGUUAUUGUCGAAUUCUGCAAUGAGUGACAACUCAUCUGCAGGCACUCCAGAGUGGAUGGCUCCUGAGCUUAUUCGUAACGAACCAUUUACAGAAAAGUGUGAUAUCUUUAGCCUCGGAGUUAUCAUGUGGGAGCUUUGCACUCUGAGUAGGCCCUGGGCAGGAAAGCCGCCAGUUCAGGUUGUUUACUCUGUUGCGAACGAAGGGGCAAGAUUGGAAAUACCAGAUGGACCUCUGGGUAGCUUGAUAGCAGAUUGCUGGACAGAACCGGAGAAGCGACCAAGCUGCCAGGAGAUCCUGACCCGUUUGCUUGAUUGCGAGUACACCUUAUGUUGA